UUUAUAUAUAUAUAUAUAUAUAUAUAUAGAGAGAGAGAGAGAGAGAGAGAGAGAGAGAGAGAGAGUCCGGCUGGGAUACUAUCGAUAGCAUAAAGAAUUUGUUGCUAUCGAGUUUUCUACUUUUAGAUUUAACCAUUCAAUUAUUUUUACCCGUUAGAUUAUAUUAUUUAACCAACCACUCACUCAACCCUAGAGGGCUCACAUCAUUCUAAACACACAUUUCUCAAUCCAAGGAAUAAAAAACUAAUAGCUAUUGGUGCUAUUAAUAGUAUUCCAUCCUAGUUUUAUAUAUUUAUAUAUAUAUAAAUUAAGUCCGGUUGGGAUACUAUUGAUAGCAUCAAGGAUUUGAUGCUAUCGAGAUUUUCACCGUUAGAUUUAACCCUUUGAUUAAUUUUACCCGUUAGAUUAUACUAUUCAAACAACCAUUCACUCAACCCUAGAGGCUCCAUAUCAUCCUAACCACACAUUUCUAAAUCCAAGAGUUAAAAAACUAAUAGCACCAAUAGUAUGAUGCUAUUGAUAGUAUUCCAGCCUAAUUUCAUAUAUAUAUAUAUAUAUAUAUAUAUUAUAACUCAGUGGGACCACUCAACCCCUAAGGAACUAAUAUCAUCCUAAUCCUAUAAUUUUUCAUCUAAGGGUUAAAAAUUUGAUAGCAAAAAUGAUCUUUUGCUAUCACUAGUAUUCCAGCCUAAAUCUCUCUCUCGCUAUAUAUAUAUAUAUUGCUAUUUUUUCUAUAAAAUAUUUUACAAGAAAGUCCAGAGAUGUGAUAUAUAUGGCUUUAUCUUCAUAGUUAAAAAUUGAAGCUAUAUGACACCUUAGAAAUAAAUUUUCAAUUUUUUUUUUGGUAUAUUUACGCCCUUUAAUUAGAUGGCUCUUAUUUAUUUGAUUAGAUUUUGAUUUUGCGGUAAUGAUGACUUAAAAAAAUACUUAAAAAGUUUUUUUUUUUUUUUUUGAGAGAUAGGUAGCACGCUAAUCGUUUCGCUUAUUUUAUUUAGAAAUAAACUUAACUGAAAAUAUGAAUCAACUGGAAUUCGAACUUGGAUCUCGAAUAUCAACCAUUAAACCCUUUGCCACUUGCUGGACGAUCGGUAGUACUUGUGUAGAACGCAGCGGAAGUAUUCGUUCGUACCUUUUUGCGGAGGCGAUUCGCGCAACAACGCGAUGAGCCCGGAUCGUUUAGAUUGAUUCACGUGUCCUCGGAUCGUCCUUGAAUGUCUUCUCACGUUCUAAACUCGCGAUGGAUCGAACUACAAACAAGCACGAUCACAAAUCCACCGUGCAAGUCCCUCUAGAAUAAUAGGUCAAUGGAGGAAGUGAUUUUUCUCUAUUAUUUUUUUAUUCUCUCUCUUUUUCCGUUCUUUCCGUAUAUAUUUCGCUAUGUGGGAUCGCCCGCAUAUUUAUAAGGAAUUCCAAAAUCCUAAUGGCGUUAGAGAUAAGGCCAAAUCGGUUAUUAAUUGUUAUCCUAAUAUGAUUAGAUUUAUCUCUAAUUAGCUUUCCAAUUUAAAAGCAAAAUUAAUUCUAAUUCAAUUAGAUAACAUAAUAUCCGUCGGAUCGAACUCGCUUAUGAACGUACCUGAUUCGAUUUAACCGAAUGCCAACAACUUGAAAAGUUUCAAUACGG
rnacentral:lncRNA from 1 species